AAGUGGAUCAGGUGUCUAUGACUUAAUAGGGAAUCCGGUAAAAGCCGGAGCGGUCCCGCCACUGUAACAGCGAGUCCGGCUGCACGAUGUCACUGGAGAGAGGGUAAGCUUUCUUUGGGAAGACGCAGCAGGGCGAUGAACUGGAGCCAGGAGAACUGCCUGAUU
rnacentral:ncRNA from 1 species